rnacentral:lncRNA from 1 species
UUCCCACAAAACUCGGGACUUCUUACUAUCUCUUUGCACAUUUCCCUCCAAGCUCUGCACACAGCUGCACAGGCGACAACAUCCUUACGAGAUGGCCAGGUACCUUCACUUGCUUCCAAUCUUUUAAUCACAUCCCGAAGUAGCUCAGGUGGAAGGCUAGCCCAGCGACUUGACUGGAUAACUGGAGGUGUGUCAUGUGGCUCAGGCACAAACACUUGAGAUUUACCCCGGAGAUGCCCAGAAAGACUUGAAAGUCUCACUUCGAAACUACGCCUUGACAAGCUCCCAAAACUAUCCCGCACAUCUCGAACUAUACUACGGAACGACAUCUAGUCUAACCAAUGCCAGAAACGGCACAGAAUAGGAUAGACAGAACCACCAAGGAGGUAAUAUGGCAGCCCACUUGUGUCGGAGUGAUAAGAUGGUCAAGACGUUGAACUGCACAAAGAUAACACAAUGAUGAAAUGUUGCCUCUACAAACAAAAAAAAUAACAAGAGGGAAGUCAAUCGACAUUUCUCAAUUACCAGCAAAAUAUUAAGAAUAACUAUGAUUAUCUUUUAAUGGUAUACUACAAUGCAUUAACAAAACAAAAUAGAAUUCUAAGCAAUCUUUCUUAAGCAAGCAUCAAAAGAAUAACACCAUUACAGAAAAAUGCUCUUCUAAUAAUCAUAACAUAAUAGGAUUAAUAACAGAUAAAAUCAAAAUUUUAAGAGCACAAGUUAAGUAUAUCAUGGUGCGAGUACGGUGGUAAGCCCAAUUUUUUCUCUUUAUAUAUAUAUUACAAAACCAAAAUCAACGAGAGUUUGUGACAGAAGCCAGUGAUUAAACUCUUCUGGUAGUGAAGCGAGGCAGGAUAGCCUACCAAGAUAUAAAGCUAGGAAAACUAAAAGCUUGGAUCUAGACACCAUUAUAUCGUCAUCAACAAUCCGUUGGAUCAGACAUGAGAGCGAGCUCAAAGAUGAUAAAAUAAUCAUUCAAGACCAACAAGAUCACAUAACAAAUCGAUCAAACUUCGGUGAGAGGCCUUAAAAACGGAGAAAAGGAAUCACCCUGACCCUAAAGUGAGAAAUUUCGACCAUUUUAUCACUCGAACCUAGAAAUCUCCUAACGUCGAGCACAUUGAUCGAAAAUUACCUCGUACGGAAGCAAACAUUACAAAUGACAGAUAUUCAUGAUUUUUGCUUCAAAAAAUCUAAUUUUGAUCCGUAAAUAUUAACAGACAACACAAAUCUACACGUUCUUAAGGUUACCGAAGCUUACAACGAGAAAUAUAAACGACAAAAAAGAAAAAGAAAAAAAAAACCACAGAAAGAUCAACAGAAACAACAUAAAUAGCUCCAAGCUUAAACCUUGACCUUCCUGAGACGAAAAUUUAAGCCUUUCCAAGAACUACCUCAAACCAUCUCCUAGGGUUGCUAAUUAAAACAAUCAUAGCGAGCUCAAGACAAAUAAUUCGGCAUCAAAGGGCAAAUAUUCACAAGCCAAAACACAAUACUCCCUCAAAAAAGACACAAAAGCAAAACCAUCGGU